CCUACGGGCGGCAGCAGUGGGGAAUAUUGGACAAUGGGCGAAAGCCUGAUCCAGCCAUGCCGCGUGUGUGAAGAAGGCCUUCGGGUUGUAAAGCACUUUCAGUGGGGAAGAAAGCCUUGGGGCUAAUACCCUCGAGGAAGGACAUCACCCACAGAAGAAGCACCGGCUAACUCCGUGCCAGCAGCCGCGGUAAUACGGAGGGUGCGAGCGUUAAUCGGAAUUACUGGGCGUAAAGCGCGCGUAGGCGGUCUGAUAAGCCGGUUGUGAAAGCCCCGGGCUCAACCUGGGAACGGCAUCCGGAACUGUCAGGCUAGAGUGCAGGAGAGGAAGGUAGAAUUCCCGGUGUAGCGGUGAAAUGCGUAGAGAUCGGGAGGAAUACCAGUGGCGAAGGCGGCUUUCUGGACUGACACUGACGCUGAGGUGCGAAAGCGUGGGUAGCAAACAGGAUUAGAUACCCCCUGUAGUC
rnacentral:rRNA from 1 species